AAUAAAUGCAGCCAUGAGUUUUCGCGUCCAACUUUGAUAGUCCGUGUUAUUUGAAAUUUUUUUAUAAUUAGUAUUUUUGUUGUUAUAAGAUGAUAAAACAUAAAUAGUACUUUACUCGUGACUUAUGUUUUUAAUUUUUUUUAAAUAAGACAAAUGGUUAAAAUUGGACGCAGAAAACUAUGGCUGUACUUAUU
rfam:Oryza barthii chromosome 1, whole genome shotgun sequence.